rnacentral:tRNA from 1 species
GCGCCGGUUGUGUAAUGGCGUAGAGCAUUCCCACCUGGUCAGAAGGAGGUGCGGGUUCGAGUCCUGCCUGGCGCU